ensembl:lncRNA
GAAACAUAUUUCCCGAAGACUUUGAAUAGUAUCCAAUUCUUUCUUGGAGGAAAUACAACUUGUGGACGCCAGAGGUCACUACUGUACCAUAAAACACAUGCCUGUCAGUGGAAACAACAGCCUCUUCCAGGACAAUGAUGGUGUCUUGUUCUGACACCAUCUGUGAAGGGAGUGGGCUUUGAAGAAAAACUACAGUUUGAGAGGAAAGAAGUGCCCCAUGCCCUCUUGUAUGAAUGUGCAGAAGUAGCCCAGACUCUGUGAGGACAGUCACAUUCCUGUUCUCUUUUGGCUGUGUCAAGACAAAGAUGAAUAGCUCCUUACCGGUCACUGCUGUCAGAAUCUCAUUGAAGUGGAGGUUGACACAAACUUCGUACUUUCUAUGAGAAACUCAUGGCCACAGAAGUAGCUGCUGGUGCUCUGGAUGAAGAGGAGAAGGGUUGUGUGGUCCGAAUAAGUGGUAGGAAGAGCAAACAAGUUUCUAUGUGAAACAAAAUGUCUUGAUCCAUAGCAAAGUGUGCCUGUUGUUGAGUAAGGUGCGUUCUUUUUAUAGACAAAGGGGAACUGGAGAGAGGAAGUGCAAGUUUGUUCAGGAUGUAUUCUGGGUGUCCAUCUGAGUGUUCUAAUUUGAUUAUUUAAAAACAAAAGGAAAGAAGGGAUAUUUCUUGACUGACAGGUACUACUGUGCCUUGGUGGUUAGGGCCCCCAAAGAGCUAGAAAAAUCUGGAAGCUUUUCAAAUCUCUCCAAAGAAGGUGAUGUCUGUUAACAUGUUGUUGGAAAGCCUUUAAACAGCAAAGAUAGAAAGAAACUGAGGACUAAAGUACCCGUCGUGUUACUCCACCUAUAUGCUACACAAAUGCCCAUGCACUGCUCUGAAGAAACAACACCCCAAGAAAAACCAGGAGGCUGCUGAAUGUGCUAAACUUUUGGCCAAGAGAAUGAAAGAAGACAAAGAAAAAAAUCUUUAUCCUUUCAAAAGAAGCAUAUCUCUCUUUCCAAGACCUUUGGCUGGGGUCCAAGGAACAGUCCCCUUGUGUUGGCAAGAUGGAGUCUGGGUGUAAGCACAAUGUGGACAGGGACUAGGAGGUGUUCUAAGAACUCUACCACGCAUGCACCAGACUGUGCUGCUGAGUCUUUUUUCCUAGAUGUGGAACCAGCUAUGACCCAAAGCUGGGAGAGCUCAUUUCUAACUCUCUAGUCAAUCAUAGUCAAUGGUCACUGGUGGAAAGAUGCAGGGGGACGCCUAUAUAUCAUAGUAGAGGUUUUAUCUAACUUCACAUUAAUGAGGUUUGGGUUCAAGUUUCCAUUGUCAAUAUUCUGGUGUGAUCUGAGGUUAGUGGCUGUCACCUGCUACCACAGUUCUUUUGCUUUUCAGAUAGAUAUAUUAAUAAAUGAUUCCAGAGGUUUCUGUAAGAAUAAGAAGAUAUAUAUGAGAACUAUUUAUAGCCUAAAAUAUGAAGCAAACAUUAACAUUGUUAAUUGUCCAACAAACCAUAUAGGAAAUAUUUGUUAUGAAAGCAAGGGGAAAUGAGGCACUGUUUUCAGGAGACAGGGAAUAAAAGUGGAUAGGUUAUUAUUCCUAAGG